CAUUUAUUCAUAAAUCGGUGACAAAAGAAGAAGAAGGGGGAUGCGCUU
rnacentral:sRNA from 1 species